rnacentral:ncRNA from 1 species
UAAAAUGCUAUGAAAAGGAAAGUAACUUUAAGAAUACUUUUACAGAGAGUUCCUAUUGGUGAGAAGGAGCAAAGGAUAUUAAAGCGAAAAUGGCCUUGGAGCGGUGUACCGAGAUCUUUGAUUUAGGCUACAACGGGUUCACCCGUUACAGUGAUAAAGUAUAACCAAAAUUUGGCGUACUUGAUGAGGUUUGUAUUGUGAGAUACAAAUAAAUUAGGAUGGUAACACGAAGUUAACACUCUCGUUCCUAAG